UGGGGAAUAUUGCACAAUGGGCGCAAGCCUGAUGCAGCCAUGCCGCGUGUAUGAAGAAGGCCUUCGGGUUGUAAAGUACUUUCAGCGAGGAGGAAGGCGUUGUGGUUAAUAACCGCAGCGAUUGACGUUACUCGCAGAAGAAGCACCGGCUAACUCCGUGCCAGCAGCCGCGGAAAUACGGAGGGUGCAAGCGUUAAUCGGAAUUACUGGGCGUAAAGCGCACGCAGGCGGUCAGUCAAGUCGGAUGUGAAAUCCCCGGGCUCAACCUGGGAACUGCAUCCGAAACUGGCAGGCUAGAGUCUUGUAGAGGGGGGUAGAAUUCCAGGUGUAGCGGUGAAAUGCGUAGAGAUCUGGAGGAAUACCGGUGGCGAAGGCGGCCCCCUGGACAAAGACUGACGCUCAGUUGCGAAAGCGUGGGGAGCAAACA
rnacentral:rRNA from 1 species